CCCUUAGAUGUUCUGGGCUGCACGCGCGCUACACUGAUGCACUCAACGAGUUUAUAACCUUGCCCGGUAGGGUUGGGUAAUCUUUUGAAAGCGCAUCGUGAUGGGGAUAGAUUAUUGUAAUUAUUAAUCUUCAACGAGGAAUUCCUAGUAAGCGCUAGUCAUCAGCUAGUGCUGAUUACGUCCCUGCCCUUUGUACACACCGCCCGUCGCUGCCUCCGAUUGAAUGAUCCGGUGAAUAAUUCGGACUGCGGCAUUGACCGGUUCCCGAUCGUUGCUGCGGAAAGUUUAGUGAACCUUAUCACUUAGAGGAAGGAGAAGUCGUAACA
rnacentral:rRNA from 1 species